AUUGAACGCUGGCGGCAUGCUUUACACAUGCAAGUCGAACGGUAACAGGCCGCAAGGUGCUGACGAGUGGCGAACGGGUGAGUAAUGCAUCGGAACGUGCCCAGUCGUGGGGGAUAACGCAGCGAAAGCUGCGCUAAUACCGCAUACGAUCUAUGGAUGAAAGCGGGGGACCGUAAGGCCUCGCGCGAUUGGAGCGGCCGAUGUCAGAUUAGGUAGUUGGUGGGGUAAAGGCUCACCAAGCCAACGAUCUGUAGCUGGUCUGAGAGGACGACCAGCCACACUGGGACUGAGACACGGCCCAGACUCCUACGGGAGGCAGCAGUGGGGAAUUUUGGACAAUGGGGGCAACCCUGAUCCAGCAAUGCCGCGUGAGUGAAGAAGGCCUCGGGUUGUUAAAGACGUCUUUUGUUCUAGGGAAGGAAACAAGCAGCUCUAACACAAGUCUGCGAAUGACGGUACCGUGAAGAAUAAGACACCGGC
rnacentral:rRNA from 1 species